rnacentral:rRNA from 1 species
GACGAACGCUGGCGGCGUGGCUUAACACAUGCAAGUCGAGCGGUAAGGCCCUUUCGGGGGUACACGAGCGGCGAACGGGUGAGUAACACGUGGGUGACCUGCCCUCAGCUCUGGGAUAAGCCUGGGAAACUGGGUCGUAAUACUGGAUAUGACUCCACGGUGCAUGUCGGUGGGGUGGAAAGCCUUGUGCGGCUGAGGAUGGGCCCGCGGCCUAUCAGCUUGUUGGUGGGGUGA